rnacentral:rRNA from 1 species
CGGCACGCCUUAUACAUGCAAGUCGAACGCAGUAGCAAUACUGAGUGGCAGACGGGUGAGUAUAAUGUGGGAAUCUGCCUUUUGGUUUGGAAUAACUCGGGGAAACCUGAGCUAAUACUGGAUAAGCCCUAACGGGGAAAGCUUUAUGCGCCAAAAGAUGAGCCCGCACUUGAUUAGCUUGUUGGUGAGGUAAAAGCUCACCAAGGCAACGAUCAAUAGCUGUUCUUAGAGGAAGACCAGCCACAUUGGGACUGAGACACGGCCCAGACUCCUACGGGAGGCAGCAGUAAGGAAUCUUGCACAAUGGGGGAAACCCUGAUGCAGCGAUGCCGCGUGAGUGAAGAAGGCCUUUGGGUUGUAAAACUCUUUCGUCGGGGAAGAAAAUGACUGUACCCGAAUAAGAAGGUCCGG